rnacentral:rRNA from 1 species
UACGGAAGGCAGCAGUGGGGAAUAUUGCACAAUGGGCGAAAGCCUGAUGCAGCUAUGCCGCGUGUAUGAAGAAGGCCUUAGGGUUGUAAAGUACUUUCAUCGGGGAGGAAAAAACAAAACUAAUAAUUUUAUUUCUUGACGUUACCCGAAAAAGAAGCACCGGCUAACUCCGUGCCAGCAGCCGCGGUAAUACGGAGGGUGCUAGCGUUAAUCAGAAUUACUGGGCGUAAAGAGCACGUAGGUGGUUUUUUAAGUCAGAUGUGAAAUCCCUGGGCUUAACCUAGGAAACUGCAUUUUGAAACUGAAAUACUAGAGUAUCGUAGAGGGAGGUAGAAUUCUAGGUGUAGCGGUGAAAAUGCGUAGAUAUCUGGAGGAAUACCUGUGGCGAAAGCGGCCUCCUAAACGAAUACUGACACUGAGUGCGAAAGCGUGGGGAGCAAACAGGGAUUAGAUACC